rnacentral:rRNA from 1 species
GUAGUGUAUGUCAGACUUCCAAGAAAAGCUCGCAAUGUCAUAUGAUAAAAAAUGCCUGUACCAUAACCGACACAGGUGGGUAGGUAGAGUAUACUAAGGGGCGCGAGAUAACUCCCUCUAAGGAACUCGGCAAAAUAACUCCGUAACUUCGGGAGAAGGAGUGCCUUAUUCUAUAAGGUUGCAAUAACAAGAUCCAAGCAACUGUUUAUCAAAAACACAGGUCUCCGCUAAGUCGUAAGACGAUGUAUGGGGGCUGACGCCUGCCCAGUGCCAGAAGGUUAAAGAAGUCGGUUAGCAUUAGCGAAGCUGGUAACUGAAGCCCUGGUGAACGGCGGCCGUAACUAUAACGGUCCUAAGGUAGCGAAAUUCCUUGUCGGGUAAGUUCCGACCCGCACGAAAGGCGUAAUGAUUUGGAUACUGUCUCGGAGAGGGGCUCGGUGAAAUAGACUUGUCUGUGAAGAUGCGGACUACCUGCACCAGGACAGAAAGACCCUAUGAAGCUUUACUGUAACUUGAAAUUGAAAUUGGACUUUAUUCGCGCAGUAUAGGUGGGAGGCGUUGAUUAUAAUCUUGCGGGAUUAUUGGAGCCAUCAGUGAGAUACCACUCUUGUAAUGUUAGAUUUCUAACUUUGAAUCAUUAUCUGGUCAAAGGACAGUUUCAGGCGGGCAGUUUGACUGGGGCGGUCGCCUCCUAAACGGUAACGGAGGCGUACAAAGGUUUCCUCUGAACGGGUAGAAAUCGUAUCUAGAGUGUAAAGGCAUAAGGAAGCUUGACUGUGAGACCUACAAGUCGAGCAGGGACGAAAGUCGGUCUUAGUGAUCUGACGGUACUGAGUGGAAAGGCCGUCACUCAACGGAUAAAAGUUACUCUAAGGAUAACAGGCUGAUCUCCCCCAAGAGUUCACAUCGACGGGGAGGUUCGGCACCUCGAUGUCGGCUCAUCGCAUCCUGGGGCGGUAGUACGUCCCAAGGGUUGGGCUGUUCGCCCAUGAAAGCGGUACGCGAGCUGGGUUCAGAACGUCGUGAGACAGUUCGGUCCAUAUCCGGUGUAGGCGUUAGAAUAUUGAGAGGAGCCUUCUUUAGUACGAGAGGACCGAGAAGGACAUACCUCUGGUGUACCAGUUAUCGUGCCAACGGUAAACGCUGGGUAGCUAUGUAUGGAGUGGAUAACCGCUGAAAGCAUCUAAGUGGGAAGCCCACCUCAAGAUAAG